UACGUAGGGGGCAAGCGUUGUCCGGAUUUACUGGGUGUAAAGGGCGCGUAGGCGGAUUUGUAAGUCAGUGGUGAAAGCCCGUAGCUUAACUACGGAACUGCCUCUGAUACUGCAUAUCUUGAGUUCGGAAGAGAGAAGCGGAAUUCCAGGUGUAGUAGUGAAAUACGUAGAUAUCUGGAAGAACACCAGUGGCGAAGGCGGUUUCUUGGUCCGUAACUGACGCUGAGGCGCGAAAGCGUGGGGAG
rnacentral:rRNA from 1 species